rnacentral:rRNA from 1 species
UACGUAGGGUGCGAGCGUUGUCCGGAAUUAUUGGGCGUAAAGAGCUCGUAGGCGGUGUGUCACGUCGGCCGUGAAAACCCGCAGCUCAACUGUGGGCUUGCAGCUGAUACGGGCAGGCUUGAGUUCGGUAGGGGAGACUGGAAUUCCUGGUGUAGCGGUAAAAUGCGCAGAUAUCAGGAGGAACACCGGUGGCGAAGGCGGGUCUCUGGGGCCGAUAUUGACGCUGAGGAGCGAAAGCGUGGGGAGCGAACAGG